GGCGCAACUUGACAGCUUGCAAACAUGGCGAGCUUGGCGGAUGUCAGUUGGAAACUGCUGGAAUUCAAAGCCCGGUCUAAAAGAUCAGAUUUGUGAUUUAGCCGAGCGAGCAAGAGAGAGAGUGGCCUUAAUUGCACCUUUUGAGAAUGGCUGCCAUAAACCGGUCUCCUCCCAAAGUUCAAAGACUGGGAUCCAUCUAUGAGCCUCUCAAGCUGUCCAUCCUCCAGCGAGAGGAUGAGCCCAUGUGGGAGAAACUGGACCGCUACUACAAUGCCGGUAAGUGCUCCUGUCUGAUAUCAGCGGGGAUUGUGGGAUAUCAUGCUGAGAUCCGCACAAAGCGCACAAAGCCCCCGGACUACCGACUCUUCUGAUUCCAUUUGACACCCAGAUAUUGUUGUGAGGACUAAAGGUGGAAUGUUCCUGCACGACUCUUACAAAAACACUUCUUCGGUCUUGUGCGGGAUCGACCGUCACUUCUCCGCGCAAAAUUGUUUAUUGUGUGCCGGCGAUGAGGAGACCACACGCGGGCUUUGUCGGCAACUUACUUGAGGGCAAAAAAAAAAACUUUGGGUGUUGCUGGUUCGCUCAUUUCCAAAACCUUACAUCAGUGUAAAGACUCCGGCUUAUUAGUGAUUCCUAGAGCUCAAAAAAAGUCUGCGGGCUAUAGAGCGUUUUCCGUUCGGGCUCCAGUACUCUGGAAUGCCCUCCCGGUAACAGUUCGAGAUGCUACCUCAGUAGAAGCAUUUAAGUCUCAUCUUAAAACUCAUCUGUAUACUCUAGCCUUUAAAUAGACCUCCUUUUUAGACCAGUUGAUCUGCCGCUUCUUUUCUUUCUCCUAUGUCCCCCCCUCCCUUGUGGAGGGGGUCCGGUCCGAUGACCAUGGAUGAAGUACUGACUGUCCAGAGUCGAGACCCAGGAUGGACCGCUCGUCGGGACCCAGGAUGGACCGCUCACCUGUAUCGGUUGGGGACAUCUCUACGCUGCUGAUCCGCUUGAGAUGGUUUCCUGUGGACGGGACUCUCACUGCUGUCUUGGAGCCACUAUGGAUUGAACUUUCACAGUAUCAUGUUAGACCCGCUCGACAUCCAUUGCUUUCGGUCCCCUAGAGGGGGGGGGGUUGCCCACAUCUGAGGUCCUCUCCAAGGUUUCUCAUAGUCAGCAUUGUCACUGGCGUCCCAUUGAAUGUGAAUUCUCCCUGCCCACUGGGUGUGAGUUUUCCUUGCCCUUUUGUGGGUUCUUCCGAGGAUGUUGUAGUCGUAAUGAUUUGUGCAGUCCUUUGAGACAUUUGUGAU